rnacentral:rRNA from 1 species
GACUGGAUAGGAAGAUAAAAGGCAUCUUUUAUCUUUUAAAAGACCUAGUAAUAGGUAUGCUUUAGGAGGGGCUUGCGCCAUAUUAGUUAGUUGGUAGGGUAAUGGCCUACCAAGACGAUGAUGUGUAGCUGGACUGAGAGGUUGAACAGCCACAUUGGGACUGAGACACGGCCCAAACUCCUACGGGAGGCAGCAGUAGGGAAUUUUCGGCAAUGGAGGAAACUCUGACCGAGCAACGCCGCGUGAAUGACGAAGUACUUCGGUAUGUAAAGUUCUUUUAUCAAGGAAGAAAAGCAAAUGGCGAACCAUUUGUUUGCCGGUACUUGAUGAAUAAGCCCCGGCUAAUUAUGUGCCAGCAGCCGCGGUAAGACAUAAGGGGCAAGUGUUAUCCGGAAUUAUUGGGCGUAAAGGGUGCGUAGGCGGUCUAGUAAGUCAGUGGUGUAAUGGCAACGCUUAACGUUGUCCGGCUAUUGAAACUGCUAAACUUGAGUUAGAUAGAGGCGAGUGGAAUUCCAUGUGUAGCGGUAAAAUGCGUAAAUAUAUGGAGGAACACCAGAGGCGUAGGCGGCUCGCUGGGUCUUAACUGACGCUGAGGCACGAAAGCGUGGGGAGCAAACAGGAUUAGAUACCCUGGUAGUCCACGCCGUAAACGAUGAGUACUAAGUGUCGGGUUAAACCGGUACUGAAGUUAACACAUUAAGUACUCCGCCUGAGUAGUACGUACGCAAGUAUGAAACUUAAAGGAAUUGACGGGACUCCGCACAAGCGGUGGAUCAUGUUGUUUAAUUCGAAGAUACCCGAAAAACCUUACCAGGUCUUGACAUGUUUUUGCAAAAUGAUAGUAAUAUCGUGGAGGUUACCAGAAACACAGGUGGUGCAUGGUUGUCGUCAGCUCGUGUCGUGAGAUGUUAGGUUAAGUCCUAAAACGAGCGAAACCCUUAUCGUUAGUUGCCAGCACGUUAUGGUGGGGACUUUAACGAGACUGCCAAUGAUAAAUUGGAGGAAGGUGAGGAUCACGUCAAAUCAGCAUGCCCCUUAUGACCUGGGCUACAAACGUGAUACAAUGGCUGUUACAAAGGGUAGCUGAAACGCAAGUUCUUGGCCAAUCCCCAAAAACAGUCCCAGUCCGGAUUGAAGUCUGCAACUCGACUUCAUGAAGUUGGAAUCGCUAGUAAUCGCGAAUCAGCAUGUCGCGGUGAAUACGUUCUCGGGGUUUGUACACACCGCCCGUCAAACCACGAAAGUUGG